rnacentral:lncRNA from 1 species
ACCUCAUACCCCAGAGGAAUGGAGUCAGCCUUCUAUGGACUGAGACCUCUGAAACUAUGAGGCCCCAAAUAAACUUUUCCUCCUCUGAUUGUUCUUGUCAGAUCUUUGAGACACAGCAGUGAAAAAGCUGACUUAAACACCCACCCUACUGCCAAAAAACACCACUAACAUUCCUAAAGCACUCAAGCCUUCACACUUCAGUAUUUCCUCCUCCCUGGGUGCGCUGGAACUGGCUUGGAUCUGUUCAUGAGACCAACUGUGCACAUCUCUUCUCAGCUCUGUGUUCAGGUAUGUCAUGUUGAUAGCUAGUGGGUAUAGUGGGUAUAUUUAUAUAUACCCACUAUAGGGAAUAGUAGGUAUAUUUAAAACACAGAAAUCAGCAGACAGUAUAAACUACAGCUUCCCCUCUUCUCACUCCUGACCUAUUAAGUGUUUACCAGCCACUCUCUCCCAUCUGUGUGUUGGCUGUCUCUCUCUCCAAUUUAGCAAAUUUGUAUCUCUAUGCCCUUGAUUUGACCUUAUAACUUAUCUGUGUUCAUUUUUUUCUACCGUUGGAUAGUACUAUUACUAGUUAGGUAAUCAUGUCUUACUCAUUUUGCUUUUGACCCAGAAGAACUUCUGUCUGUUGUUAAAUGAUUUCUGCAAAUUGCCUGCAUUUUUUGUAAGGAAGGAUUAAGGAAUUUCCUUUCUGCUCAUCUCAUGUUUCCACAAAGAAGGAACACUGUCUUAGGAAUACACCUGGCCUCACCUCUUUCUUAUUCUUAAUGAAAGAUAGAAAAUGAGUUAUAUGACAAUAUAUAACGUCUAUCCAUCUGUGUUCUCAACCAGAUUAAAUAAUAGGUAAUCCUACCCUUUUAUCCUUGUUUCUGUGCCCUAGAUUCAAAAAAGAUGUCCUUUCUGGGACAAUCUGCUCUGUAGACUCAACUUAUAGCUCCUGAGGCUGUCCUAAAACAAAGCUGGGAAAGGGAGUUGAAGGGGAGAGAAUUUGUAAACUGUUUUACUGUAAAAGUAAAAACCAUUUUCUCCAAUUGUUUUAUCAGGCAUAUAACUGACACAUAUCUGUGUCUGAUGUCUCAAUUCUCUAUAAAAUCUGAACAUUGGAGGGAAAAAUUUAAAUUUCUAAAUUCACUAUAAGUCCAAAAACUUUCAAUAUACUGCAAAAUUAGUUCAAAUAUGAUCUCCUGCACAGCCUUCCUUAAGCAAACUAGCUAAAACUUCUCUAGUCCUUUUGAGCUACUAAAAUACUUGUUGAAAUCACUCACCCAACACUCAUUUACUGUUUAUACAUGCAUGCCUCUUACCCCAUAAGUAGAAAUAUAUCCAAUGUUUCCUUUCAUAGCUCUGGAAGGUACAUGAGUAUCUAGUUAAUAUUGGCUGUGUUAAGAAAAACUAAAGGACACAGUGAAGACAGAGACCUUUUACCAUGCAUUUUGUAGAUUUUAUCGCAUAUAUUGUCUUUUCAAAAAUCAAUAAAAACAUUAAUAAAAUAAAUCUUCAAAUAAUAAAACUAACAUAAGAUAAAACUUUAUUCUAAUUACUCUUAUAAAUCUAUAAACUACAUGUUGAUCACUAGAAAUGACACACCUAUAUCAUAUCAAUGCACCUCCAUGUGUAAUUAUUUUACAGGAUCAUACUUCAGUGUUGUGCCCUGGACUUGAAACAAUUAGAGACGACUAUGGAAAUAGGUAGGUGUCACUGUGUAUGCCUCUGCAUUUUCUAAACAAUUUUUUUAUUCUGUAGCUUUAAAAUUACUCUCAGUACUCUAAGCUAGGGGAACAAAUAUUGUUUUAACAUUGAAACUCUGAGUCUUCAAAUUAGAUCAAUCAUUUAUCAUAUUACAAAAUAGUAAUAACAAAGACCUAGAGACUGUGGUCUCGCUAAAGCCUGAAUAUUCUCCCAAAAUAAAAAACAGGUUUAUGCAGAGCUGCUUUGAUUAACUGAGAGCUAAGACUUGCCCAGGUCCUGACUGCUUUUCCUUAUUCUUCCCUAAGGAGUACUAAACUGGGAGUCAUUGCUCUUGUGAACUAGGAGCUCACAGCUUAGUGCCUUCUUACAUUUCCUGUGUCAAAUCAUUUUAAUAUGACUUUUCUCCUCAUUUUCCAUUUUGUUUUCUAUAUUUAUUUCAAGUUAGCAUAUCUGUGUUUAUAGUGCUUUGAAUAAAUUAAAUUGAUUGCAUAUACGUUAAUUUCUCAUUUUGACAGAAAUACAGAUUCCCCAGUAGUUUAAGGCUUUCCAUACUUCCACUGAAAAUCUCCAGGAAGCAUACCCUCAGAGGCAACUAAGGAAGGAUGUGGGGCAAAAAGACCUCUUCUACAUUUCUAAUUAUCAUGAGUAGACUCUGAAAUAUGAAAUUAAAAUAUAAUAAAUGAACUAUAUAAUUAAAACAAAUUAUUUGUGGAUUCUGAAUUUGUGGAAUGAUAUCAAUACACAAGUAAUUGCAUGUGUUUUAAAAUAUAUAUUUUGAGAAGAACAUUUGCCCACACCAGUUUCCACAUCCAAAACCAACAGAUGACACAUAUAGCUUGAAGCUAAUAAAACUGAUGACAGAUACAUCUAUUUAAGACUAUGGAUUGCGACUCCCAGACAGCUGGGGAAUGCUUUACUGGAACAGUUGCUAAAUACAGUAGUUGCUUUUUCCAUAUCAACAUUACAAUAAUUGGCAAUAACUAUGUCCAUAGUGAAACUGGCUAUGUCAUAUCCUAGUGCUAUUUAUAAAGGGUGCAUAAGUGAUGUUAGAGUAGUUAGAGUGAAUAAAUUCCAACCAUAAAUAACAUAUCCCAUAAAUGAAAAUCCAUCUGUGUGACAGAUAAGACUGGAAAUUUCCAAUUCUCUUUAAAUCAAUCUGUAAAUUUCCAAUAGGUACUGCUUUUGUAAGGACAAACAUUAAAAUUAAAAAAAUCUCUUCUGCCUUAAUGAAUAUUCAAUUCAACAAUUCUGUUGUUUGCCAAACAUCAUAUUAAGUUGCAAGGUUUACAAGAUAAGCAAGACAUUUAGAUAUUAUAUAGAGCUCACACAGAAAGAAUAAGGGAGUAAACAAGAAUAUUAAAGUUUAGGUAUGACUUAUCGUGAUCCUUUAUUUGUCAUAUAGUUCUUCAUUGGUCCCCAAGACUCAGAGAAAGGUCUGCCUGCAGUGAAACCCCCAGUUGUAGGCAAAUUAGGCUUAAAUAGUUCAUUUUUCUUUGUUUAAACUUAGAGUCUGGGUUCUCAGCGUGUGCCACAUUCUCUUCUAACCAUUUGAGGUAGAUAUUGUUACUAACCUUACUGUAGUAAUGAAGAACCUGGGUUCUGAGAGUAUAAGUAAGUAGCCACAAGUCUCACAUCUAAGAGAGAUUCCAGAGUUCACAUCCUUGAUCACUCUGCACUAAGACCUAGAAAUAAAUGAAGUAAAUCAUAAGUGCAUUUAUUACUGUUCCUGCUUUCCUUCAUUGAAAAAGCACAGAAACACCAUAUUGUGAUUUAUGUGGUUAGAUUGAAAAUAGAAGAAUAUUCCUAAUGCUAACUGAGUACCUAGCCUAACUUGCAUUCUGAAAGAUGUGACUGAUUUAAAUUGCUAUGUAUAUAAUGUAGCCUAUCACAAAACUGUAAUUAAUAGUAGAUUUUUCCAGCUACUUCACAGAACAAGGGAGAGGGCUAUUAGAAACAGAUUCUAAAUUUUAAGAUUAAUCUUCGUUCUUUUCUUAUUUUAGGAUUUGGAGCUCUGGAAGGAAGCAUAACAUUUCCUUGAUAUUGGGGGUAGUUUGUUUCAAUUUUAUAACUUAAACCAUAUUGUUUUUUGCUGUGAUAAAUAACAUUUUUUUCUUUAAAUGUAUUUAUGAAGAUGCUGAGACCAUUUGUGAUCCUGUACUUCUUCCUGUGAUGAUUUGUUUAAUAUCUAUCUGUCUCAUUAGACUGAAUCAGAAGUGAAAAAUAUAGCUCCUGAGAAAUAAGGCAAAAAGAAUUUUAAGAAGUGAAAAUCAACAUAGUAAAAUGGUUUGUAACAAAAUUAGUUGUUACUAUAGCAAUUAACAUUUAAUGACAUUUGCUGUGUAUCAAAUGCUGUACUAAACAGUUGGUAAAAUUUUAAUUCACAUAAUAAAUAUUUGAAUCAGAUCUUGAUAUUGACCAGAAUUUAUAUCUGAGGAAAUGGGCCUUUGAAAAGUUAAGCAAUCUUAAAAGUUAAGAAGAGCAAGAAGCAGAUCUCAUUGCCAACAGGUAGCAGAAGGGAGAUCGUGAUAGCAAGGCCACAUGCCUGUGCAGUACUCUAUACUUCUCUCAUUUUGAUGCUCCCCAAAUUUCUUUGUAAUUUCUGUUUCUGGCAGAGUCUGGGUCUAGCAUAUUUAACAUUUUAUUCUCAGAACCAAACUAAGUGUUUGGCGUCCAAUAGUAGUAGCUCAACAAUAUUUGCCAAAUGAAUGAAUCUGUGAGUCAAAGAAUCAGUAAACUUAUGAAGCAACAGGAUUUAAAAAUUAAGGAGAAAAAUAAUAGAUUGCUAACAUUCCUUAAGGAUUACAACACAGAUUCCUAUUCUUUGACAUGAUUAUCCACACUUGGCUUUUCAAAGAGGCUGCAGUUAUAAAGCCCACAGAAUGAUACAUGUAUUUGGCAUGGAGCUGGCUUCUCUAAGUAGGGCACUCAAGUGUUCUCUGUUGAAAAGAAGCUGUGUAACUCUUUGGCCAGAAUCUAGAAAUGACAACUGGAGAUUAUGAGUUAAUGCUUCUCAAGAGUGAGGAUGACCCUGGCAUCAGGACAUUCUUAAAUAAACUGUCACUGUGGUGGGCCAUUUUUCUCCACCUUCUUUAUUUUUUAGGGAGUUGCUCCCAACCCAAAUAAGAACAAACAAAGGAUUCAGUGCAGCUGGUUUAGGAUAAACUGAUCCCACACUCUUACCCUUUAUUAACAGAGCACAACCUUGGGAGCACAAUGUUGGAUUUAUUAGAGUGAAGUGAGGGUAAAACAGGGGAGGACUAGUGAUUCAACCAGUUAGAAGAGCUCAAUAUACUCAAAACCACUUGGUAAAUUUAACCAAGUGAAAAUUGACACUGAGGUUUUUUUAUACAGCCCAUUUAUAAAAUUUGUCUGGAAGAAUGAAAUGAUGGAGGAUGGAUGGAGGGACAGAUGGAGGGAUAGACUCAGGUGAUGGCAAACAGGCUAGAAAAAAAGGCUUUCACUAAGAAAACCCAGAAAAAGCAUAAAAUGUUUUAAUUCUUCAAAUAUAUUUUUAAAGUAAGAGCAAAAUUUACUACAUGUUUGACAUAUAAAACAAUUUAUAGUUUUUUUUUAAAUGGUGUCUUGGGAAUGAGUAUGAUUUAGUUAGUGUGAUGACAAGUUUGUUUUUACUUAUCAAUUAGCACUUGGCAAGAGAUUUAAAAGAACAGCUGGAAUUACAAGAUUAGAAAGUUCAUGAGACAUCAGGACUAAAGAUCAAGAUUUGGGAGGUCAUUAACAUUGACAAGAUGAUUAAAGGCAUCAAAAUAGUUAAAUUUGCUAAGAGCAAGAAGCUGAUUAAAAUUUAGGAACACCCACAGAAAAGGGACAGGUGGAUGGAACUGUAAUUACAGGGAUGAUCACAAAGUUUAUGUUCAGAACUAUAGAAGUCAAAGGAUUGAAAUGGGACAAUAGUUAAACUUGUUUCCUAGGACAAUAGAAUUCAAAAGGGAGAUUAAGAAAAUAUUUGAAUUUGUCUAGAAGGAAAGUCCCUGCUAUGCGGAAUUCUGACAUGGGCAGAAGGUGAUGAAGCAGUGGUUGAGGUUAAGGAAGGUGAUAAAAGCAUGCAUGGCUCCUGUAAGGACUAUGGGUUUAAGGAGAAGGAAAGAAGCAUAAUGGUGGGAAAUGUUAAGGGCAUUAGGUUAACAAAAUUUAAAAGGCGGAGAUAUAAUAAAGAAGAAUCUAAUCUUCCUGAAUUCUAAGCUACUCCCUUAUGAUAAAUUAGUAGCCUUGGGGCGCUCAUUAACCCUGCUGGGGCACUAGGGUAUUGUUCCAUGUGUUGUAGCCGCAGUGCCUGCCUGACAAAGCAUAGAGGUGAUUAUUCAUAGCACUAGGAAAAAUCACUUCCUGUCAUACUGGAGAAACUCCCUAGGAAAAAAAGACACCACUUUAAGUAACAGAAGCAGCGGUGUCUGCUUUUCUAGGGGAACAGGUAUUUGAAAAUAACUGUCAAAUCCUUUAGCAAAAUGUUAAUCUGCCAAUUUCAUAUUUUAAACCACUGAGCCAUUCUUGUAUCAUCUUUAAGCCUCAAUUGCUUCAUUUGUAAAAUAAGGAGUUUGGAGUUGAUGGCCUAAAUGGAAACUUUUAGUCCUCAAACCUCUGUAUUCUCUGAUUCUUCCCUUCUAACAUCAUUGCCCAUGAAGAAAGGAAAGGUAACUAUGAUACAGAAUGCAGUGAUGCAAUUAAGAACACAAAGGAAAUGUCUGUCUUUUUUCCUCUAUUUCCCUUCAGAUUCUACCCUUCAGUCUGAAAAAUGCACCUUGAAAACCUCAUGAAUCCUAUGAACGUUAAAACUCCAUAUAGAUCUUAUGAAUGCUAAAGUUAUGAAAAUAUCUACAUAGCAGUCCUUGACUUUUUAUAUAUCACGUAGCUCCUAGUGUCUACUGUAUGGGGGUUCAAGAUUUCCAGAAACAAAGGAGACCUCUAUUUGAAACUUCCAGGUUCUUGACUCCAUCACAGAAAAGAAUUUAAGGACGAAUCAGUCUAACAAAGAAAUGCUGUUUUAGGAAGGAGAAAAUCUACACUGUCAGUGUGUGGGCAAUCUCAAGAGUAAGAUGUGCAGCCAUGGCCUAAGGUCAAGUUUUUACUAAAUUGGGGUACAUUAUUAGGUUGAAUAUGUAAACUGAAAGACUGGGAAUCUCACAGCUGGUAAAUAUUGAUUGAAACCAUGUUUCUCCGCUAGAGGAUCUGGUCUGGUAUGAAAGUUUCAUCUUAUAUCACUGCCUGUGGCAGUUGGGUGGUCAAUCAGAUGGCUGGGAAAAAGUGUCAUGAUUCAAUCAAAUGUUAGCCUCAAGAUUCACAAGGUUAAUAGUCUCUUUCUAAUUGUCUUGUUCCUGUUUUGCUAUAUUCCAAAAAACUUAUAAAGAACCAGAAAGUUACAAAGUAAUUUAUGGGCUUUUUAGUGUACCCUUACUUUUUCUAGCCGCCUUUGUCUGGAUCAUGAGUUGUUUGUUAAUGGAAAUAUUUUUUCCUUCAGAGACUUAGUGUUCUUUGUGUAUCCCAAAAUUUCUAUCUCAUUAAGAUCUCAUUAGGAUAUUUGUAAAUAGGAUUAUUAUCAGUAACAAUAUUAUAAAAGUAGUAAUAAUAAAACUUACAAUAAUAUUAUUUCCUUUGUCUAAUAUAACUGUAUUUAUGUGGGUUCGUCUCUGUUUCCUCUAUUCUGUAUCAUUGGUCUACCAAUCUAUUUUGGUGCCAAUACCACACUGUUUUUGUUAUUAAUGCCCUGUAGUAUAGUUUAAGGUCUGGUAUAGUAAUGCCACCUGCUUCGAUCUUCUUGCUAAGGAUUGCUUGAGCUAUUCUGGAUCUCUUAUUUUUCCAGAUGAAUUUCAUGAUUUUUUUUUAUUUGUAAAUGUCAUUGGGAUUUUGAUUGGAAUUGAAUUAAAUAUAGUGCUUUUGGUAGUAUGGUCAUUUUGACAAUAGUAAUUCUGCCUAUCCAAGAACAAGGGAGAUGUAAGGUCUUCUUUAAUUUCUUUCUUUAGCAUUCUGUAUUUUUAUUGUACAUGUCUUUCACUUCUUUGGUAAGUUGAUUACCAAGUUUUUUUGUUUGUUUGUUUUGAGGCUAUUGUAAAUGGGGUAGUUUUCCUUGUUUCACUUUCAGAGGAUUUGUCACUGAUAUAUAGAAAUGUCUUUGAUUUAUGGGUGUUGAUUUCAUAUCCUGCUACUUUGCUGAAUUCAUGUACUAAUUCUAGAAGUUUUCUGGUGAAAUUUUUUGGUCUUUUACGUGUAAAAUCAUAUCAUCAGCAAAUAGUGCUAAUUUGAAUUCUUAUCUUCCUAUCCUUAUCCCUUUAAUUUCUUUCAUCUAAUUGCUCUGGCUAGAAUUUCAAGAACUAUGUUAAAUAGAAGUGGUGAAAGAGGGUAUCCCUGUAUUGUUCCUGUUUUUAGAGGGAAUGCUUUCAAUUUUUCUCCUUUUAGAAUGAUGUUUGCCUGGGACUUAGCAUAGAUAGCUUUUACAAUGUUGAGAUAUCCCUUGUUUUUCUAGUGUUUUGAACAUGAAGGGGUGCUAUAUUUUAUUAAAUGUUUUUUCUACAUCUAUUGACAUGAUCUUAUCUGUAAGUUUGUUAAUGUGAUGAAUUACAUUGAUUGAUUUCCAAAAGGCUCCAAAAACAUACAUUGGAGAAAAGAUAGCCUCUUCAACAAAUGGUGCUGGGAAAACUGGAAAUCCCUAUACAACAAAAUGAAAUUAAGCCCCUGUCUUUCCCUGUGCACAAAACUCAAAGUGGAUCAAGGACCUAGGAAUUAAACCAGAGACCCUGCACCUAAUAGAAGAAAAAGUAGGCCCAAAUAUCCAACAUGUCAGAUUAGGCCCUGACUUCCUUAAUAAGACUCCUAUGGUGCAAGAAUUAAAAUCAAGUAUUAAUAAAUGGGAUAGAUUCAAACUCAAAAACUUCUUCUCAGUAAAGAAACAGUGAAGCAAAUAAAGAACCUACAGAAUGGGAGCAAAUUUUUAUCACACAGAGCACUAAUCUCUAGGAUAUAUAAAGAAUUCAAAAAUCUUUGAAUUUUCUUCUCAAAAGAGGACAUAUAAUCAAUCAACAAAUAUAUGAAAAAAUGUUCAACAUCUCUUGCAAUUAGAGAAAUGAAAAUCAAAACGACGCUAAGAUUUCAUCUCACUACAGUCAGAAUGGCAAUCAAGAAUACAAACAACAAUAAUUGUUGGCGAGGAUGUGGGGCAAAGGGCACACUCUUACAUUGCUGGUGGGACUGCAAAUUGGUACAACCAGUCUGGAAAGCAGUAUGGAUAUUCCUUGGAAAACUGAGAAUGGAACCACCAUUUGACCCAGUUAUCCCUCUCCUCGGUCUAUACCCAAAGGACUUAAAAACAGCAUACUAUAAUGACACAGCCACAUCAAUGUUUAUAGAAGCACAAUUCACAAUAGAUAAACUGUGGAACCAACCUAGAUGUCCUUCAGUCGAUGAAUGGAUAAAGAAAAUGUGAUAUAUAUAUACAAUGGAAUACUAUUCAGCAUUAAAAGAAAAUAAAGUCAUAGCAGGUAAAUGGAUGGAGUUGGAGAAUAUAAUACUAAGUGAAGUUAGCCAAUCCCAAAAAAACAAAUGUUGAAUGUUUUCUCUGAUAUAAGAAUGCUGAUUCAUAAUGGGGAUGGGGGAUUCCUGGGAGGAAUAGACAAACUUUAGAUAGGACAAAGGGGUAGGAGGGCACGGGAGGAGGCAAGUGGAAUGAGAUGGGCAUCAUUACCCUAAGUACAUGAAGACAUGAAUAGUGUGACUCUCUACUUUGUGUACAGAGACAUGAAAAAUUGUGAUCUAUUUGUGUAAUAUGAAUUGAAUUGCAUUCUGCUAUCAUAUAUAACAAAUUAGAAUAAAUAAAAUAAAAUUUUAAAAAAGAA